CUAACUAUAAUAAACCUGACAGUGAUGGACGAAAGCUUGGGUAGCAAACGGGAUUAGAUACCCCGGGUAGUCCAAGCCGUAAACUAUGUUCGCUAGGUGUCUUUGCAAGUUUUGCAGGGGUGCCGCAACUUAACGGAUUAAGCGAACCGCCUGGGUAGUAUAUACGCAAGUAUGAAACUCAAAGGGAUAGGCGGGGGAACACACAAGCAGUGGAUGAUCUAGAUUAAUUGGAUACAAAGCCACAAAUCUUACCUAAACUUGACAUGCUCUUUGUCGUAUAUGAAAGUAUACUAGGCUAGCUUGCUAGUCAGGGAGCACAGGUGGUGCAGUGGCCGUCGUCAGCUCGUGCCGCAAGGUGUCUAGUUAAGUCUAGGAACGAGCGCAACCCUCAUCGUUAGUUAUUAUGUCUAACGAGACUGCCUUGGCAACAAGGAGGAAGGAGAUGGAUGACGUCAGGUCCUCAUGCCCCUUACGUUUAGGGCUUCAUAGGUCACUACAAUGGGUAGUACAACGAGAAGCAAUACCGCGAGGUGGAGCAAAUCUUUCAAAGCUAUCCCUAGUUCGGAUUGNGUCUGCAACUCGACUACAUGAAGUUGGAA
rnacentral:rRNA from 1 species